rnacentral:rRNA from 1 species
CCUACGGGAGGCAGCAGUAGGGAAUAUUGCACAAUGGGGGAAACCCUGAUGCAGCAACGCCGCGUGGAUGAUGAAGGUUUUCGGAUUGUAAACUACUUUUGUUAGAGAAGAUAAUGAUGGUAUUAAACGAAUAAGCACCGGCUAACUCCGUCACAGCAGCCGCGGUAAUACGGAGGGUGCAAGCGUUACUCGGAAUUACUGGGCGUAAAGAGCGCGUAGGCGGGAUAGCAAGUCAGAUGUGAAAUCCUAUGGCUUAACCAUAGAACUGCAUUUGAAACUGUUAUUCUAGAGUAUGGGAGAGGUAGGUGGAAUUCCUGGUGUAGCGGUGAAAUGCGUAGAGAUCAGGAGGAAUACUCGUGGCGAAGGCGGCCUGCUGGAACAUAACUGACGCUGAUGCGCGAAAGCGUGGGGAGCAAACAGGAUUAGAUACCCCUGUAGUC